GAUGAACGCUGGCGGCGUGCUUAACACAUGCAAGUCGAACGAUGAAGCCCAGCUUGCUGGGUGGAUUAGUGGCGAACGGGUGAGUAACACGUGAGUAACCUGCCCUUAACUCUGGGAUAAGCCUGGGAAACUGGGUCUAAUACCGGAUAGGAGCGUCCACCGCAUGGUGGGUGUUGGAAAGAUUUAUCGGUUUUGGAUGGACUCGCGGCCUAUCAGCUUGUUGGUGAGGUAAUGGCUCACCAAGGCGACGACGGGUAUCCGGCCUGAGAGGGUGACCGGCCACACUGGGACUGAGAUACGGACCAGACUCCUACGGGAGGCAGCAGUGGGGAAUAUUGCACAAUGGGCGCAAGCCUGAUGAAGAGAAGCCGCGUGAGGGAUGACGGCAUUCGGGUUGUAAACCUCUUUCAGUAGGGAAGAAGCGAAAGUGACGGUACCUGCAGAAGAAGCACCGGCUAACUACGUG
rnacentral:rRNA from 1 species